AUUGAACGCUGGCGGCAUGCCUUACACAUGCAAGUCGAACGGUAACAGGUCUUCGGAUGCUGACGAGUGGCGAACGGGUGAGUAAUACAUCGGAACGUGCCCGAUCGUGGGGGAUAACGAAGCGAAAGCUUUGCUAAUACCGCAUAAGAUCUAUGGAUGAAAGCAGGGGACCGCAAGGCCUUGCGCGAACGGAGCGGCCGAUGGCAGGUUAGGUAGUUGGUGGGAUAAAAGCUUACCAAGCCGACGAUCUGUAGCUGGUCUGAGAGGACGACCAGCCACACUGGGACUGAGCCACGGCCCAGACUCCUACGGGAGGCAGCAGUGGGGAAUUUUGGACAAUGGGCGAAAGCCUGAUCCAGCCAUGCCGCGUGCAGGAUGAAGGCCUUCGGGUUGUAAACUGCUUUUGUACGGAACGAAAAGACUCUUUCUAAUAAAGAGGGUCCAUGACGGUACCGUAAGAAUAAGCACCGGCUAACUACGUGCCAGCCGCCGCCGUAA
rnacentral:rRNA from 1 species